AUGGCGACGGCCGUCUCACUCUGCCUCCCUCGCGCCCUCCUCCACACCUCCGCUCCUCGUCCAUCGUUCGACAGCCGCGUGUCCGUCUCAAGCGCCGGCUCCACACUCCCGGACGCGCGCCGUCUUUGUCGCCGUUCAUCGGCCGUCUCUGCCGCGGCAGGGGCUUCUCCGCCUGAAGCCGGCACCGCCGCGUGGGACGCCCUCGGCGGCGUCUCCGUCUUCGCCGCUGGCACCGGCGACGCCGUGCCGCUCAGCGACCUUUGGGACCCGUCCGAGGGGGUGGUCGUGGUCGCGCUGCUGAGGCAUUUCGGAUGCUUCUGCUGCUGGGAGCUGGCCUCUGAUCUGAAAAACUCCAUGCCGAAAUUCGAGUCUGCGGGCGCUAAACUGAUCGCCAUCGGCGUCGGGACCUCUGACAAGGCACGCAUUCUCGCCGACGGGCUGCCAUUUCCUGUGGAUAGCUUGUACGCCGACCCCGAGCGCAAGGCUUACGACGUCUUGGGCCUGUACCACGGAUUAGGCCGGACCCUCUUCAGUCCAGCUAGUGCUAAAAUAUACUCGAGGCUCGACUCCAUCAAGGAGGCGACCAAGAACUACACGCUGAAAGGCACACCGGCAGACCUGACGGGCGUCAUGCAGCAGGGUGGGAUGUUUGUGUUCAAAGGAAAAGAACUGCUGUACGCGUGGAGAGAUGAAGGCACCGGCGAUCACGCACCCUUGGAUGAUGUCCUCGGCAUCUGUCGCCAAGUUCCGGUUGCUUGA
rnacentral:rRNA from 1 species